AAUCAACGCUGGCGGCGUGCCUCAGACAUGCAAGUCGAACGAUUAAACUUUCCUUCGGGAAAGAUAUAAAGUGGCGCACGGGUGAGUAACACGUAGGUAAUGUACCUUUGGGUGGGGAAUAACCAUCGGAAACGAUGGCUAAUACCGCAUAAUGCAGCGGCAUCGCAAGAUGACAGUUGUUAAAGAUUUAUCGCCUAAAGAGCAGCCUGCGGCAGAUUAGGAGUUGGUAAGGUAAUGGCUUACCAAGCCUGCGAUCUGUAACCGACCUGAGAGGGUGGUCGGUCACACUGACACUGAAUAACGGGUCAGACUCCUACGGGAGGCAGCAGUCGGGAAUUUUGGGCAAUGGGCGAAAGCCUGACCCAGCAACGCCGCGUGAAGGACGAAGUCUUUCGGGAUGUAAACUU
rnacentral:rRNA from 1 species